AACCCCGGUGUCAGAACGGGCGACACAUACACGUUUCAAUGUUUUUCACGGGGGGACAAUGGGAAUUCCCAUGGAUGAAAACAACAGGAUGAGACAACUUUCUUGUGUUUUGUUUGAUGUGAGGGUGGUUGGGCAUCGACAGUCAAUCGCCAAGCGAAUGUUCGGUCUGAUGGAUGAGGUGCUUUGGCAAAACCGCUGCAUGCCUUCUGUGGUCCUGUAACAAGAUAAUACUUAAGUCAGUGCGGCCUAUAGACAGCUAAUGAGGACAAAUAGUUUUGUCAAUAUUUACAUUAGAAGAAAAGUGCAUUACAGUAAUGCGUUGAACUGGAUGUCAAAACCCUCCACCCCCUUGACAGGAAACUGUCUGUUUCAGCGGUUUCAGGUUUCAGGCGCACACUACCCAAUGAACAAUUGCAGAAGAUGUUGUUAAUAUAUGUUAAGCUUGCGUUGCUACAUUUGGCAACCUCAAGUCAAGAAUUUGGGAAUUGCAAAGAAAAUGCUACUUUAAAGUGUGAUGGAAUCAAAGAGGGCUCCUUCAACUCUAUCACAUGGACCAAGAUGCCGUCUUCUCGUAUAAUCAGAAGAAGCCAUGAUAAGAUACAGCACUAUCAGUUCAAUCGUACUGCUGACUUGACCGAUGAAAACAGCCUUCUUCUCCCUGACCUGACGCCUGAAGACUCAGGAAUCUACGAGUGUCAGAUCGGGGCAAAGGUCGGGGGUCAGAACACCGAGUCCAAGGUGGCCUUGGAGGUUCCAGUUUGUGUGACUGAGCCGCCCACGCCUGAGCCACCGGAUCUGCCGAUACCACAGACAAUUUGCUGUUUCCUGGUCAUAUGCCUUCUCAAACUUCUUCUGCCCAUCAUUGUGGCCCAAGUAUUCCAUGGCUUGCGGAGAGACGUGAAGAGUGAAAACCCUGUGCCUUUGAGUUAAUUUAAGUUGCAAUAGUUGUAUUCCUCUGUGUACCAUAACAGCUGUAUAUGUGUGCAUCCCACCCUUUUAGGCUAUAUUAUCCAACCUAUGUUUUUUUUUAAGAAUCAUUUUCUGCGCUUGCUAUUGAAUGAUUGAAUCCUCUUUCUGUCAUCCUAAAGAUACCUUGUAAUGAAACAGCCCAUAGUAUGGGCAUAUAACCAAUGGCGGUUCUACAUGGGGGCCUACGGGGGCCUGUGCCCCUGUAGACAUGUCCCUGGCCCCCCCUGUGGCCCCCCCGUGCUGACCAAAUAAAACAAUUAUGAUUUUACUGAUUUUAUGGAAGUAAUGCGACGCAACGUUCUACACGGAUUAAUCAGAGCGGCGCACCCAACACCGAGGUGCUGGUCUUCGGUGAAUGAGAUCUCAGCGACUGCACUUGGAGAAAGGAGCCACGAGUUCUCCUUUUGCAAGAGUCGAAGGCAAGCAAAACAAUUUCAUUUCGUAAGUGACUUGUUGUUCUUGCACAUAACAGUGUUACUGUAGUUCCUCACACUUAUAAUGAAAUUAAGUUUGUAAAUGUCUGGUCUCGAUAUAUUUAGAAACUUAAUAAAAUCUAAGCAUGUAAUGCAUGCCCUACGUUUUUUUUUGUUUUUUUCUUUCUUUUUAUAGCAGCUAUCAUGAAAUGAGUCUCCGUCUCCGUUUCGCGUCGUUGUCCGGUUCGCCCUGCAUGUCUGGGCUUAUUUUCCCGAUAAUGACCGGCGUUCUAUUAUCCCUUACUUAACGUCAAUAUUACUCUGUAUGUGGAAGGAAAAAUAGCUUUAUUUGUAAUCACAAUAAUAUGCUGCUGUAUUUUCAGAGACCCCCACAUAUUUGAGUUUGCCGCUUCCAUGGGAGCCAGACCUCUCUCUAUGGGAGCUCAGCUCCCACAUGCCCCCACCUAACUCGAACCCUGGUUAUGCAACGAAAUGUAAUGCACGUUUUUUUUUUCUUUCUUUCUUUUUCUAGCAGCUAUCAUGAAAUGAUGAAAGAACAGUAAAACAGGGAAUCUUUUUAAAAGGGAAGAAGGGGGAAGUUUCUCCACACUGAAACUUUUACAAUAAAUAGGAAAGGGCCAAUUGUUUUGCACUUCGUUGUACCCUGGAUUAUUUAUUCUCAUUGACACACUAUUUACCGUCUUAUUUUUUAAUUUUUUAUGGCCCUACCUCUCUU